AAAGGUCCUACCUGCCCAGUGACUUCAUGUUAAACGGCCGCGGUAUUUUGACCGUGCUAAGGUAGCGCAAUCACUUGUCUUUUAAAUGAAGACCUGUAUGAAUGGUAUAACGAGGGCUUAACUGUCUCCCUUCUCUAGUCAAUGAAAUUGAUCUACCCGUGCAGAAGCGGGUAUAUAAAUACAAGACGAGAAGACCCUUUGGAGCUUAAGACAACUUAAGCCAACCGUGUUAAGAAUAUUUAAUAAAAUAAACGAAACAAAACAGCAACUGGCCAACGUCUUCGGUUGGGGCGACCGCGGGGGAAAACAAAGCCCCCAUGUGGACUGGGAAAUUCCUAAAACCAAGAGAUACAUCUCUAAGUCACAGAACAUCUGACCCAAAGAUCCGGCCACAAGCCGAUCAACGGACCAAGUUACCCUAGGGAUAACAGCGCAAUCCCCUUCAAGAGUCCAUAUCGACAAGAGGGUUUACGACCUCGAUGUUGGAUCAGGACAUCCUAAUGGUGCAGCCGCUAUUAAGGG
rnacentral:rRNA from 1 species